GACGAACGCUGGCGGCGUGCUUAACACAUGCAAGUCGAACGGAAAGUCCCUGCUUUUGUGGGGUGCUCGAGUGGCGAACGGGUGAGUAACACGUGAGUAACCUGCCCUUGACUUUGUGAUAACUUCAGGAAACUUGGGCUAAUACCGGAUAGGAGCUCCUGCUGCAUGGUUUGGGUUUGAAAUUUUCGGCGGUUGGGGAUGGACUCGCGGCUUAUCAGCUUGUUGGUGGGGUAGUGGCUUACCAAGGCGUUGACGGGUAGCCGGCCUGAGAGGGUGACCGGCGACAUUGGGACUGAGAUACGGCACAGACUACUACGGGAGGCAGCAGUGGGGAAUAUUGCACAAUGGGCGGAAGCCUGAUGCAGCAACGCCGCGUGCGGGAUGACGGCCUUCGGGUUGUAAACCGCUUUCGACUGUGACGAAGAGUGAGUGACGGUAAUGGGUAAAGAAGCACCGGCUAACUACGUG
rnacentral:rRNA from 1 species